rnacentral:rRNA from 1 species
AUGCAAGUCGAACGGGACCCGCGCGGUAGCAAUAUCGGGCGGGUUCAGUGGCGCACGGGUGCGUAACACGUGAGCAAUCUGCCAGGAAGUGGGGGAUAGCUCGCCGAAAGGCGAAUUAAUACCGCAUGUGGCCAGGAAGGACAUCCUUCCAAAGCCAAAGUCGCAAGACGCUUCCUGAUGAGCUCGCGGCCUAUCAGCUAGUUGGCGGGGUAACGGCCCACCAAGGCUCUGACGGGUAGCUGGUCUGAGAGGACGACCAGCCACACUGGAACUGAGACACGGUCCAGACACCUACGGGUGGCAGCAGUCGAUAAUUUUUCACAAUGGGGGAAACCCUGAUGGAGCGACGCCGCGUGGAGGACGAACGCCUUCGGGUUGUACACUCCUGUCAUGCGGGAACAAGACAGUGAUAGUACCGCAAGAGGAAGAGACGGCUAUCUCUGUGCCAGCAGCCGCGGUAAUACAGAGGUCUCAAGCGUUGUUCGGAUUCAUUGGGCGUAAAGGGUGCGUAGGUGGCGGCGCAAGUCUGGUGUGAAAUCUCGGGGCUCAACCCCGAAAUGGCACCGGAUACUGCGUCGCUCGA